GAUACCAGGGUCAAAAGGUCAUGUGUUUCAUGCUUGCAUGAAAAAACAUGACUUUGGGACCCGCAAAAACAUGAGAAAGUAGCCCGAUUAGGGCGUAUUUCGAAUGUUUUAAGGAUUUCGGGAGCACAAAGUGCGGAGAAAUCCGU
rnacentral:sRNA from 1 species